GCGUCGGUGGUGUAAUGGCGUAGAGCAUUCCCGCCCGGUUAGAGGGAGGUGCGGGUUCGAGUCCCGCCUGGCGCU
rnacentral:tRNA from 1 species